AAAUAACUUAAUGUCCUGGAAAUUUUUGACGAUUUUUUUUUUAAAUUUUUAUAAAUAAGUUUUAAGCAUUGAACAGCGGCAGAGCGUAAGACCAUAAAACGUUGCAAAAUAAAGAAUGUGAAUUGAGGAGACGCCUACGAAAAACGACAUCUCAGGAUGACAAUUACAUAGAGAUUUUAUCAAAACGCAAUCUUUUUAAGUAUUCGUAGCUUUCCAAAGAGAAUUGGGUGUACAAAUUUCUUCGAGAACUGUUGCACGUCGCCUUGUAGAAGAUAAUAUUUUCCGAAGGUUGUCCCAUAAAGAUCCAAUGUUGACAAAAACGAUAGCGGAACAAUCGGAUUGCUUUUGUUUCAGCGCAUAUCAAUUGGACCGCUGAAGAAAAUGUAGGUAGUGAUGGAGAAGUUUGUGUUCGAUAUCCGAAGAACGCUGAACUGAAUCUCUAAUACACGACACAAACUUUCAAACACGGGAUAUAGGGAUGUUUUGGAUUCGGGAAAUCAUGUACCGUUGUUACUACCUUUGAAUUGUAAUCCUAUAGAAAAGCUGUGGAAGAUUGUAAAGUUGGGACUCAUUAAACCACGAAACAUGGAGGAACUAUGGGAAAAAGUACAAAAGGCGUGGUAUUUAAUACCGAAUUCAAUGUGGAAUCUAUGCCGAAAAGGAGCAAAUAAAGGUUUUGCAACAAAAUUCAACUUAUAUGCAUUUUUAGUCAUAAUAGGCUUCUAUUUAUUGCCAAUUAAACUUCUUGAUUUCGCAUCUGCCCUCUUGUCAAAAAAAUUACAUAUAAAAGCAACAAUAAAGUUAUCGAAAAAUAAAGUGAUAUAACCUCUGUCUUCAAUGC